GCGGGGAGCGCGGCCUCUCAGCGUGAGCGGCAAUGGCGGCGCGCUGGUGUUGCUGCCGCGGGCCCUGACGAGUCCCCACCGCCCCGCGGGCUCGGGAGGAGCCGUCCUGUCUGACCGCGCUGCUCGGCAUCCCGGGGGAGAUGCGGUAGCGUGGGGUGGAUCCCGCUGGCUGUCACGGCACCCAGGGACGCCAUGGAGCCGCUCCCCGAGCUCUACUCCAUCUUCCAGGGCGAGGUUGCUGCAGUGACAGACUAUGGGGCCUUUAUCAAAAUCCCAGGCUGCAGGAAACAAGAACCCUGCUCUCCACUGUCAGUACC